GGAUGUAGGGGUAAUCUGGGCUGUGACACCUGUCACCCCAUUGACAGGGUUGAUUCAGCUGAUCUGGCUGGCUAGGGGGGUGUUCGCUUCUUCCCCCAAUGCUCCAUGUGCAUCCCUCCCAAAGCUGUGAGGCUCAGUCAAAGAGGACGAUCUUCCCUGAUAGAGGAGGACCAGCGGUCAAGGGUAUAAGAAUGGCUGCCCUCCCCUCUUAGAACCUCUAAACAAGCUCUCAAGAAACACUGCUGUGGGAGAGGAGAAAGAUGGCUGUGGAAUGUGGUGAAUGCUGGGUAGCCAGCUUC
rnacentral:snRNA from 1 species